rnacentral:piRNA from 1 species
AAUAUAGGGAUUUAGAAAACCACUAGC